CCCUUAGAUGUUCUGGGCCGCACGCGCGCUACACUGAUGCAUUCAACGAGUCUAAAACCUGCUCUGAUAGGGGUGGGUAAUCUUUUGAAUGUGCAUCGUGAUUGGGAUAGAUGAUUGCAAUUUUUCAUCUUCAACGGGGAAUGCCUAGUAAACGCAAGUCAUCAGCUUGCAUUGAUUACGUCCCUGCCCUUUGUACACACCGCCCGUCGCUCCUACCGAUUGAAUGAUCCGAUGAAUAUCAUGGAUUGAGGAUGCAAGUAGGUUCGCCUAUCUUCAUCUUCGAGAAGUGAAGUAAAUCUUAUCAUUUAGAGGAAGGAGAAGUCGUAACA
rnacentral:rRNA from 1 species